rnacentral:rRNA from 1 species
AUUGAACGCUGGCGGCAGGCCUAACACAUGCAAGUCGAGCGGAUGAAGGGAGCUUGCUCCUGGAUUCAGCGGCGGACGGGUGAGUAAUGCCUAGGAAUCUGCCUGGUAGUGGGGGAUAACGUCCGGAAACGGGCGCUAAUACCGCAUACGUCCUGAGGGAGAAAGUGGGGGAUCUUCGGACCUCACGCUAUCAGAUGAGCCUAGGUCGGAUUAGCUAGUUGGUGGGGUAAAGGCCUACCAAGGCGACGAUCCGUAACUGGUCUGAGAGGAUGAUCAGUCACACUGGAACUGAGACACGGUCCAGACUCCUACGGGAGGCAGCAGUUGGGAAUAUUGGACAAUGGGCGAAAGCCUGAUCCAGCCAUGCCGCGUGUGUGAAGAAGGUCUUCGGAUUGUAAAGCACUUUAAGUUGGGAGGAAGGGCAGUAAGUUAAUCCCUUGCUGUUUUGACGUUACCAACAGAAUAAGCACCGGCUAACUUCGUG